UACGGGGGGGGCAAGCGUUGUUCGGAAUUACUGGGCGUAAAGCGCGCGUAGGCGGCUUUUCAAGUCAGACGUGAAAGCCCCAGGCUUAACCUGGGAAUUGCGUUUGAUACUGAGCAGCUAGAGUAUGAGAGAGGGAGGUAGAAUUCCACGUGUAGCGGUGAAAUGCGUAGAUAUGUGGAGGAAUACCGGUGGCGAAGGCGGGUCUCUGGGCAACAACUGACGCUGAGGAGCGAAAGCGUGGGGAGCGAACAGG
rnacentral:rRNA from 1 species